AUCAUUACUUUUGCCCAGAAAACACUAAUAUAUUCAUUCUAAACCCAUCUGACCCUCCGUGUCUCUUUUAGGGUGGCUGUGUAUUCUUGCAGCUGACAGUAUUAGUCCGACAUGUGAUUCGCAGGCUUGAGCAAGGGCCAAUUAACUAGUGUGAACCUUUCAGCGGCAAAUCCAGGCCCUGCCAGAAUCCGGACCGCAGCUGUGUGAUGUGUCUGACCUGAGUAACGUGUCUGUCCAAGGGCAAGCCAUUCACACCAACACAUGACGGCUUUUCACACUAAUCAGGGUGCCCUGAAGGAGGUGCCAUUCGACGUGCCUCACAGCAUCAAGUCCAAGGCAUGUAGCCGUCCUUUCAUCCUGUGCUGGUCUUGCAGCGAGGUAUGCCUGGGAAGAAGAACACAGACGGUUGAAUCUGGAGGAACAUGGAGAGGGUGCUUCAAAGACUAUAGUGUGUAGGCUUUUAUUCUUGUUUUUUUUCAGUGACUUUUGGAGACUAUAAUUGAUCUCUGAGAUGAAAUUGGCAAAUUUAAGAGGAACAAACGUAGAGAAUACUCGCAUCUAUUCUCGACAUCUCCACUCACUCACCUCAUACAUUUUAAAGCUAAUUUGUUUUUCAAGAUUGGACUGCGAUUUUCACAUUUCCUUCUCCCUCCCCUCCCCUCAUCCUCUUACAUUUAGCCUGUAAGCUGAGAACAUUUCGCCAGCUGUCAUGGAAACUGGAACACUGUGUGGUCUGCAACAAACACUUUUUGAAUUACUUUUGAUUUAUUUUAUUUCCUGCAGUAUGGCAUCUUAAUUGCCGGCCCA
ensembl:lncRNA